GUCGAUAUACUCAAGUGGCUUAAGAGGGCUGUUUGCUAAACAGUUAGAUGGAAGAUCCAUGCGUAAGUUCGAAUCUUACUAUCGACGCCA
rnacentral:tRNA from 3 species